GCCACCGGGGACAACUAGGACCCCGGAUCCCACUGCCAGUUUUUCGUUACCUAUAGCCGGGCAGCGAACUUAGGCUAAGGCAGUGCUUGUUCUCUGGGGAAGGGCUUUGCGGACUCCGACCAACCCCACGGGGUAACCAGGGCUUGAGUGAAGACGACAACAAUAAUGGGAGGAACUGGGGGACCUCUGCGGACGUGGGCCGGCGCGGGACCCGGACCCCAACAGGCGGCGAGCGCGAGGGCAGGGAGGCUCCGUGGGCUCUGGCGGGGUCUCAGGCGCGGGGGUCGUUGCGUGCGCUCGUGCGCGUGCCCGCGAGGACUGGGUGCCCCUGCGUCCGUUAGCUGUGGAGGUGCCGCCGUGACCUAGGCCUCGGCUCGGCUUCCAGCCGCCGCGCGGGUCCGCACCGGGCAGUGGGCCCGCGCCGGGGCGGUUACCAAGCCUUCCGGUGAUGUUCUCCCGCAGGAGACGCAGAACUACGAUUGCACGAGUUCUCUGUCGUGUGUGUGUGUGUUUAUCCAGUCACUCCUGUAUUUGAGAGAGCGAGGGAGACAGACAGGUCCCCCUUCCGCGGGCGCGCUCCCCAGAUGCCCUCAACGGCCAGGUGUGGGCCAGGCCGGAGCCUGGAGCCCGCGCUGCCUCCCAGGGGUGCGCCAGCAGGGAGCCGGUCUGGGUGGCCUCGGGCUGCGGGAUGCGGUGUCCCGGCACCGUGCUGACCGCUGCUGACCUUUCUGAGCCAGAGGGGUCUUCAGGGGACCUCCCCCGCGGAGACUGCGCCUCCUGCCAGGCUGGGAGCUUGGGGAAGCAGCGCCCGGCUCCCUUUCUCUCCCGUUGGUUCUGGAUGUGAGGCUGUGCUGGGAAUGGCCGUGCGCACGAUCAGAGCUCAAGACCGUGCAGCUGGCUAGCUUGGGUUUCCCAGAGUCUGAUAGAACUCCAACAGAGACGGAUUGGUUCUCACGUUCCUAAAGGCAUGGCUCACGUAAGUCGGUGUUUCUCCUUGACAUGCUGGGAUUUGUAGGUUACAUAAGUAUUUUUCAUGAAUUAGCCUGAAGUGUUCUGCCUAAGACGGCACCAUCUAAUCACCUACCUCUUGAAUUCCUCCUGUUUGGAGGAAUGAUGCCAAGUACCUGUUUCCUCCUUAUGAGACUGUUUUUUUCUAACUGGCGUUCAUGCAUUCAUUGAGUAAAUUACGGAGCAGGUACGAUGUGGGAUGUCUUGCCGGGGGGCUACCAUAGGGCAGUGAAGGAGUGAAAUGUCCUAGAAAAUUGUUUAAGCUCCCCGGGCAGUCUGUGGCUGGGGAGUUAGAGCCAUGGGCUUCACUGAUGGCUUCAUUGGACCACACGUCAGAAGAUUUGGAAUUCCCCAGGGACCUGAUAAGAUGACUGAUCACCUUGUUAAUAAGAUGAGAUCUCAUGUCAAAGUGCCAGUUUGCGUUCCAGCUGUUCUGCUUCUGAUCUAGCUCCCUGCUGAUGUGCCUGGGAAAGCAGUGGAUCAUAGUCCAAGUUUUUGGGCCCUGCCCCCUACAUGGGAGACCCUGGAUGGAGUUCCAAGUUCCAGGCUUUGGCCAUUGUAGCCAUUUGGGGAGUGAAUCAGGGAAUGAAUGCUUUCUCUCUUUCCUCUCUCUAUUACUGUGCCUUUCAAAUAAAUAAAUAAUCUUAAAAAAAAAAAAAAGCAGGGGCACCAGUUUGA